rnacentral:rRNA from 1 species
UACGAAGGGGGUUAGCGUUGCUCGGAAUCACUGGGCGUAAAGCGCACGUAGGCGGGUUGCUAAGUCAGGGGUGAAAUCCUGGAGCUCAACUCCAGAACUGCCUUUGAUACUGGCGACCUCGAGUCCGGGAGAGGUGAGUGGAACUGCGAGUGUAGAGGUGAAAUUCGUAGAUAUUGGGAAGAACACCGGUGGCGAAGGCGGCUCACUGGCCCUGUACUGACGCUCAGGCCCGAAAGCGUGGGGAGCAAACAGG